rnacentral:lncRNA from 1 species
CAGGAACCCAGUUCUUCGCAAGAAUUUUUGAGGUCUCUUCUGUUCCUGUAGAUUGCCUAGCCUGUCUAGGGGGCGAAUUCUAACCUCACUUACAUGGGUGUGCAUUUGCACUCAUGCCUCCACUGAUUGCUGAAACCAGGUUGUCUUUGAAUGCCAGCAGAAGAAAGAAAAAGAAAGACGUGGUUGCAGCCAUUAAGCCGGCGAUUGCUCACAUAACUACGUUGGAAUAUUUGGUGCAGGCCACUCAGAAGCAGAUAUGAAUAUCAGGGAACACUGCAGAUGCCUCUGACAGCUUGCAAAUAAAGUGUUUGAAGCGGAAGUAUUACA